rnacentral:rRNA from 1 species
AGCGUACACGGUGGAUGCCCUGGCAGUCAGAGGCGAUGAAGGGCGUGCUAAUCUGCGAUAAGCGCCGGUAAGGUGAUAUGAACCGUUAUAACCGGCGAUACCCGAAUGGGGAAACCCAGUGUGAUUCGUCACACUAUCAUUAACUGAAUCCAUAGGUUAAUGAGGCGAACCGGGGGAACUGAAACAUCUAAGUACCCCGAGGAAAAGAAAUCAACCGAGAUUCCCCCAGUAGCGGCGAGCGAACGGGGAGGAGCCCAGAGCCUGAAUCAGCAUGUGUGUUAGUGGAAGCGUCUGGAAAGUCGCGCGAUACAGGGUGACAGCCCCGUACACAAAAGCGCAUGUGUUGUGAGCUCGAUGAGUAGGGCGGGACACGUGGUAUCCUGUCUGAAUAUGGGGGGACCAUCCUCCAAGGCUAAAUACUCCUGACUGACCGAUAGUGAACCAGUACCGUGAGGGAAAGGCGAAAAGAACCCCGGCGAGGGGAGUGAAAAAGAACCUGAAACCGUGUACGUACAAGCAGUGGGAGCACAGGUUUACCUGUGUGACUGCGUACCUUUUGUAUAAUGGGUCAGCGACUUAUAUUCUGUAGCAAGGUUAACCGAAUAGGGGAGCCGGAGGGAAACCGAGUCUUAAUUGGGCGUUAAGUUGCAGGGUAUAGACCCGAAACCCGGUGAUCUAGCCAUGGGCAGGUUGAAGGUUGGGUAACACUAACUGGAGGACCGAACCGACUAAUGUUGAAAAAUUAGCGGAUGACCUGUGGCUGGGGGUGAAAGGCCAAUCAAACCGGGAGAUAGCUGGUUCUCCCCGAAAGCUAUUUAGGUAGCGCCUCGUGAAUUCAUCUCCGGGGGUAGAGCACUGUUUCGGCUAGGGGGCCAUCCCGGCUUACCAACCCGAUGCAAACUGCGAAUACCGGAGAAUGUUAUCACGGGAGACACACGGCGGGUGCUAACGUCCGUCGUGAAGAGGGAAACAACCCAGACCGCCAGCUAAGGUCCCAAAGUCAUGGUUAAGUGGGAAACGAUGUGGGAAGGCCCAGACAGCCAGGAUGUUGGCUUAGAAGCAGCCAUCAUUUAAAGAAAGCGUAAUAGCUCACUGGUCGAGUCGGCCUGCGCGGAAGAUGUAACGGGGCUAAACCAUGCACCGAAGCUGCGGCAGCGACACUGUGUGUUGUUGGGUAGGGGAGCGUUCUGUAAGCCUGUGAAGGUGUGUCGUGAGGCAUGCUGGAGGUAUCAGAAGUGCGAAUGCUGACAUAAGUAACGAUAAAGCGGGUGAAAAGCCCGCUCGCCGGAAGACCAAGGGUUCCUGUCCAACGUUAAUCGGGGCAGGGUGAGUCGACCCCUAAGGCGAGGCCGAAAGGCGUAGUCGAUGGGAAACGGGUUAAUAUUCCCGUACUUGGUGUUACUGCGAAGGGGGGACGGAGAAGGCUAUGUUGGCCGGGCGACGGUUGUCCCGGUUUAAGCGUGUAGGUGUGUGUUCCAGGUAAAUCCGGUUCACUUUAACACUGAGGCGUGACGACGAGGCACUACGGUGCUGAAGCAACAAAUGCCCUGCUUCCAGGAAAAGCCUCUAAGCAUCAGGUAACAUCAAAUCGUACCCCAAACCGACACAGGUGGUCAGGUAGAGAAUACCAAGGCGCUUGAGAGAACUCGGGUGAAGGAACUAGGCAAAAUGGUGCCGUAACUUCGGGAGAAGGCACGCUGACACGUAGGUGAAGUGAUUUACUCAUGGAGCUGAAGUCAGUCGAAGAUACCAGCUGGCUGCAACUGUUUAUUAAAAACACAGCACUGUGCAAACACGAAAGUGGACGUAUACGGUGUGACGCCUGCCCGGUGCCGGAAGGUUAAUUGAUGGGGUCAGCGCAAGCGAAGCUCCUGAUCGAAGCCCCGGUAAACGGCGGCCGUAACUAUAACGGUCCUAAGGUAGCGAAAUUCCUUGUCGGGUAAGUUCCGACCUGCACGAAUGGCGUAAUGAUGGCCAGGCUGUCUCCACCCGAGACUCAGUGAAAUUGAACUCGCUGUGAAGAUGCAGUGUACCCGCGGCAAGACGGAAAGACCCCGUGAACCUUUACUAUAGCUUGACACUGAACAUUGAGCCUUGAUGUGUAGGAUAGGUGGGAGGCUUUGAAGCGUGGACGCCAGUCUGCGUGGAGCCGACCUUGAAAUACCACCCUUUAAUGUUUGAUGUUCUAACGUGGACCCGUGAUCCGGGUUGCGGACAGUGUCUGGUGGGUAGUUUGACUGGGGCGGUCUCCUCCUAAAGAGUAACGGAGGAGCACGAAGGUUGGCUAAUCCUGGUCGGACAUCAGGAGGUUAGUGCAAUGGCAUAAGCCAGCUUGACUGCGAGCGUGACGGCGCGAGCAGGUGCGAAAGCAGGUCAUAGUGAUCCGGUGGUUCUGAAUGGAAGGGCCAUCGCUCAACGGAUAAAAGGUACUCCGGGGAUAACAGGCUGAUACCGCCCAAGAGUUCAUAUCGACGGCGGUGUUUGGCACCUCGAUGUCGGCUCAUCACAUCCUGGGGCUGAAGUAGGUCCCAAGGGUAUGGCUGUUCGCCAUUUAAAGUGGUACGCGAGCUGGGUUUAGAACGUCGUGAGACAGUUCGGUCCCUAUCUGCCGUGGGCGCUGGAGAACUGAGGGGGGCUGCUCCUAGUACGAGAGGACCGGAGUGGACGCAUCACUGGUGUUCGGGUUGUCAUGCCAAUGGCACUGCCCGGUAGCUAAAUGCGGAAGAGAUAAGUGCUGAAAGCAUCUAAGCACGAAACUUGCCCCGAGAUGAGUUCU